UAUAGAGUUAGUGUCAGAAAAGUUCUUCUUACUGUCAUAUGGACUAAAGAUAGUGUCACUGAAUAUGGGUAUUGAUCAUACUUUGACAAAAUAUUAAGAGAAAUCAGAUACAAAAAAAAAUCCAGUUACAGGGCUCUUAAAAGAGUAAAACUGUUUCCUUCUGUACUCAACAGAGGGAAAGUUCUUACAUAACUUUUGAUGUGCAAAGGUGCUAAAAUUUGAUUAUUAGCGAAGACUGAAGUAACCUGAGACCCUCAAGGAAUAGAUAACUGCAAAAUAUUUCACUUAGCAUUACUUGCUUUAUUUUAUUUACAGCUAUUUUCUCUUUUCAGAAGAUUGCCAAGUCAUAUCAGUGUUAAAAAAUAAGACAUCUACAUUGAUCUGGACACAGGUUCAGUAUGUUCCUCUAUAAUCAGUGUGUUAUGUUUCUAUAGAUAUGUCAUAUCAAUACCUUCAAUCUUCAUGAUAAAAAAAAUGCAAGCACUACUCAAAAAAGUUUUCCACUCAUGUGAGUCUUAACAGCCAAAACUGACUUUUUUCUCACACUUCUUCAGAGACCUGCAGAUAGUAAUGUUACUAACUCAUACACUCUCCUUCAGAUUAGAUAUGGAAGCAUCACACACAGAAUGUUCAAUUUUUAUGAAAAUGUAUUUCUAAAAUAUUUAUUCUUUUUAGUUUUAAAGUGACAGUAUUUUUCUUUGAAGGAUUCUUAGAGAAAAUGAAAAUAGAGUUCUGCUAAAUAACUCUCAGAUAAAAAGCUGCAUUUCCUGACAAGGUUAUCUUUUCCUUUCCACUCUUUCCUGUGUCCCCAGACAUCCCCCCAUACAGGACUCAACCUUACAAAAGCUGGACAUCCCUAACUCCUAUCAUGUUUGUCAUUCUAUUUCGGCAGCUAUGACAGAGACUGCAAUGGAAAUCUGCCUUCCUCUGAUCACUGAUUUGCCCCAGGACUGCAUAUAUUCCUUUGCACUCCCUCUUAUAUGAGGAACCUGUGUUUGCACCAUUCCUGUGUAAAGUGCUGGGUGGUAGAUACAUACAUGCACACAAUGUUGGAAGAUGAGAAAAGGCUGUACUUCCAGGUUACUCCAUUUUCAUGAUGUUUGACAAAUUUUAAUGAGGCAAUACUAAGAGCAGUCUGAGACUUGAUUCCAACUGGCCAUAUUAUGCUCUAAAAGACCCAGGAUUUCAGCACGUGUAGUAAGCCAGCACGCUUCCACUGAGGUUAAUGGAAUCAGCGUUUUUGAAUCAUCUGAGAAUCAGGUCUGAUAACUCUGUAAUUUUGUUUGUAAUUUUGUCUUGCUUGUUAUUAUACCUGUAAGUCAUACUUUGCCUUGAGCUGAAGCUGUGGGAUUCUGGAUUGGUUUAAGGAGAAUUAUUCUGCAUUUAAAUUUAGAGUAGUUUGAAGCAGAGUGUUUCUCUGACAUCCAAAUCCCUAUACACACACAAUUUCUUCAUUCUGCAUAACAAUCAUGUAAAAUAGAUAUUGUGAAAGCAGUAUUUUGUGCAUAAAAAAACAAGGAAAAAAUGUUCCUUGGGGAUGGCAUUGUUCAGAACUUGGUACCUUUCAGUCAAUUCUGCCUGUGUUUUAUUUCCCUCUGGCUCUGAAGAGGCAGUGCACUUGCUAGCACAAGUCCUGGCACCAAAACUAGAAGUCUGUGCAGCACCUGUGUAGAGGGGAAAUCCUGCUAUAUCCUGGCAAGAUAAAAGCAUUAAAACUG